rnacentral:misc_RNA from 1 species
CGCUUUUGCCUUCUUUCUCGUUUGGUCCUCGUCUGUCUCGCCAUCUUGCGUGGACUGGUGCAGUCUGUGUAAUUUUCAUAUUUUGUGUUGGAUUUUGUGCUGAAAUUAAGUAAUUUUUUAAAGAGUUUAAUACAAUAAUCAACGAGGAUGAGUUACGGAAGACCUCCACCUCGUAUUGAGGGAAUGGUUUCUCUCAAAGUUGAUAAUCUUACAUACCGAACAACGCCAGACGAUCUUCGACGCGUUUUCGAGAGAUGUGGAGAAGUUGGAGACAUUUACAUUCCUCGGGACAGAUUUUCUAGGGAGAGCAGAGGCUUUGCCUUUGUCAGGUUUUACGACAAGCGUGAUGCUGAAGAUGCACUUGAUGCCAUGGAUGGUCGUCUUCUGGAUGGCAGGGAGCUGAGAGUACAGAUGGCCCGCUAUGGCCGGCCAUCCUCGCCCUACAGACGCAGCAGUCGCCGCAGCAGACGAUCACGAUCUCGUUCACGUCGUCGAUCCCGCUCUCGCAGUCGUUCUAGGUCUCGCUCACGCCGUCGUUCAUACUCCCGCAGCCGCUCCCGCUCACGCUCUGACAGCAAGAGCUCCAGGGGCCACUCCCGCAGCCGAUCCAAGUCCAAGUCCCGUGCCAAGUCCGGCAGCAAAUCCCGUUCCAGGUCAAAGUGAUGUGAGCUGUGAGAUGCAGUGAAUAAUGAGAUUUUUGGACUGUAACCACCCAAAUAAUAAAGGCAGGAGUGAGGGGUGCUGUGUCAGGGGGUUGGCAGAAUGCUGUGGUGCUAGCGGGUUAGCGGCUGGCGGGGUUUGCUGUAUGCAGUGGCUACCGAUCCAGACCAGAUUUUAAUGAAAGCUGCCAUUUACCAGUACAGUUCCCAGGCGCAGUUCCAAUCGAAUGUAACGUAUUAAGAUUCAUCUCAACACCCUCCAUGACGAAGUUGUUGAGAUGAUUCCAAAGUGAUUUUUGAAACCCAGCUUUUAUUGCUUGCCAAAUUGAUAAAUCAUACUCGUGGAAUGAUGUAAAUAUUAACAAAAACUUCCUCGAUAUUUCCCGAUAUACUGGUAAACUGGUCUUGGCAGAAAAUGAACGAGAGAUGACACCACGCAGUAACAAAAAAAAUUGGGUGGGGAACAACUAGAAACGGUUAUCUUUAGCCCGGAAACGUACAUACUUGUUAAAAUAUCUUGGGCUCUUUUGUCAAUUGUUGCAGGUAAUAAAUUAUUUCCAACACCAUGGAGGUAAGUAGUUUAGUUGUAGUUGUGUGACUUACAUCAGCUGUAAAGCUCCUCUGAGGCGUACUCAAAUUAAUUCAGUAAUGUCUAUUAAAAUUAGUAGGCUAUAAUUUGGAAAUGUCUGGGAAAAAAUUAGUGUCAUAAUUUGGCAAACUGUUAAAAAAUUGAUGUAAUUGCAAAUAAAGAAGUAUGAGAAUGAAAUCUGACGUGCAGCCUUAAAUUACUAUGAAUGUUUGGUUAAAUAUUCUCCCAAAUGUUGAUUUAAUUGGGCAUAGACUUUAAUUAUUGGUCCUUGUUGUAAUGCUAACAGCCAGUGUCAUUAUUUGUUUUAAUUGCCUAAGAAAAGUCUUCAUAAAAUUUGUCCUUUUGUAACAAUUAUUUAAGUAUUUUAUUAUGCCUUAUUUUAUUGAUUAAAAUUUCAAAAAAUAUUUAGGAUAAGUUUGAAAACUCUGAAGAUUUUAUAAUAAAAUACUAUUAAUGUAGUAUGGAUUCUUAAAAAUAAUUCAAUGGUAAACUAAGUCAUUGAACAUUUGUAUUUUAAAUUAAUUUUUUCACCAUGAAGAACUAUUUUUAUACUUCAGACUUUUAUAUUAAAAUCCCUUUUUGUCCUGAAAAAAAAAGACAGCAGUUUAGUUUAAUUGAAAACCCCUAAUGGCAAAAAUGUUACAAUGGGAUGAACCUUUGUGACAUCAUAUAAGUUGUAUGAUGUUAGUGUGUUGUUGUUAAGUCUUCUUUAAUUGUAGAUGAAAUAAAUGAUAAUAAUUAUAGGGGAGCACAACUUCAGUCACGAAAAGAAGAGGAGCUAGUGAAUUUUGUUUGUUCAUGCGCCAUGAAAGAAUUUAAUUGCAUUAAUAAAGCCUUUCAAAUUAAAA